rnacentral:misc_RNA from 1 species
UGAAGUAAACACCACUGGUCAAAUCAGUCAGAUCAUAGACCAAUUUGCUAGCAAGUAUGCCUGCAGGAAUGGAAAUGUAUGGUACUACAGGAUCUGAUAGUACAAGAUACUUAAGUAGUUGCUCAGCCUGGCUCUUUAGUGACAUGAUUGCUUGUUUCAAUCUUGGGUUACAGCAUGCUACGAUUUCAAAACAAACAACAAGAUACACAAUUCCUCCAAAAUCUUUAACUUCUUCUCUACCUCUUUACACCGGAAAAUCACCAGAAAACGUCGCGACGCAGCGGAGAAGAAUCAGCAAGCAAAAACCACUGCGGAAAUAGAUUAAAAACGAAAAAAACAGAGUAGCAGAAGGGCGGAAAAUGCGAAUGAUAAUGAAAAUGAGGAAGAAAAGAAGAAGGCAAAUAGAUGGAAGGGCAAUGGAAAGACGAAAAAAAAUUCUGUUAGAGAUGGAAGAAAGAGAGAGGAGGG